GUGCCAGCCGCCGCGGUAAUACGUAGGGUGCGAGCGUUAAUCGGAAUUACUGGGCGUAAAGCGUGCGCAGGCGGUGAGUCAAGUCUGAUGUGAAAGCCCCGGGCUCAACCUGGGAACGGCAUUGGAAACUGGCUCGCUGGAGUGUGGCAGAGGGGGGUGGAAUUCCGCGUGUAGCAGUGAAAUGCGUAGAGAUGCGGAGGAACACCGAUGGCGAAGGCAGCCCCCUGGGCCAACACUGACGCUCAGGCACGAAAGCGUGGGGAGCAAACAGGAUUAGAUACCCGGGUAGUCC
rnacentral:rRNA from 1 species